CCGGAGUGGACGCAUCACUGGUGUUCGGGUUGUCAUGCCAAUGGCACUGCCCGGUAGCUAAAUGCGGAAGAGAUAAGUGCUGAAAGCAUCUAAGCACGAAACUUGCCCCGAGAUGAGUUCUCCCUGAGACUUUAAGUCUCCUGAAGGAACGUUGAAGACGACGACGUUGAUAGGUCGGGUGUGUAAGCGCAGCGAUGCGUUGAGCUAACCGAUACUAAUGAACCGUGAGGCUUAACCUUACAACGCCGAAGGUGUUU
rnacentral:rRNA from 1 species